rnacentral:rRNA from 1 species
UACAGGGGGGGCAAGCGUUGUUCGGAAUUACUGGGCGUAAAGGGCUCGUAGGUGGCCAACUAAGUCAGACGUGAAAUCCCUCAGCUUAACUGGGGAACUGCGUCUGAUACUGGAUGGCUUGAGUUUGGGAGAGGGAUGCGGAAUUCCAGGUGUAGCGGUGAAAUGCGUAGAUAUCUGGAGGAACACCGGUGGCGAAGGCGGCAUCCUGGACCAACACUGGCACUGAGGAGCGAAAGCCAGGGCAGCAAACGGG